rnacentral:rRNA from 1 species
UACGGAGGGUGCGAGCGUUGUCCGGAAUCAUUGGGCGUAAAGAGCUCGUAGGUGGUUUGUCGCGUUGUUCGUGAAAUCUCACGGCUUAACUGUGAGCGUGCGAGCGAUACGGGCAGACUGGAGUACUGCAGGGGAGACUGGAAUUCCUGGUGUAGCGGUGGAAUGCGCAGAUAUCAGGAGGAACACCGGUGGCGAAGGCGGGUCUCUGGGCAGUAACUGACGCUGAGGAGCGAAAGCGUGGGGAGCGAACAGG